rnacentral:rRNA from 1 species
AGUGAACGCUGGCGGUAGGCCUAACACAUGCAAGUCGAACGGCAGCACAGUAAGAGCUUGCUCUUACGGGUGGCGAGUGCGGACGGGUGAGGAAUACAUCGGAAUCUACUUUUUCGUGGGGGAUAACGUAGGGAAACUUACGCUAAUACCGCAUACGACCUACGGGUGAAAGCAGGGGAUCUUCGGACCUUGCGCGAUUGAAUGAGCCGAUGUCGGAUUAGCUAGUUGGCGGGGUAAAGGCCCACCAAGGCGACGAUCCGUAGCUGGUCUGCGAGGAUGAUCAGCCACACUGGAACUGAGACACGGUCCAGACUCCUACGGGAGGCAGCAGUGGGGAAUAUGGGACAAUGGGCGCAAGCCUGAUGAAGCCAUACCGCGUGGGUGAAGAAGGCCUUCGGGUUGUAAAGCCCUUUUGUUGGGAAAGAAAAGCAGCAGGUUAAUACCCCGCUGUUCUGACGGUACCCAAAGAAUAAGCACCGGCUAACUUCGUG